rnacentral:rRNA from 1 species
UACGUAGGGGGCAAGCGUUGUCCGGAUUUAUUGGGCGUAAAGAGCGUGUAGGCGGCUUUACAGGUCCGUUGUGAAAACUCGAGGCUCAACCUCGAGACGCCGGUGGAAACCGUAAAGCUAGAGUCCGGAAGAGGAGAGUGGAAUUCCUGGUGUAGCGGUGAAAUGCGCAGAUAUCAGGAGGAACACCAGCGGCGAAGGCGGCGCUCUGGGCUGGAACUGACGCUGAGGAGCGAAAGCGUGGGGAGCGAACAGG